rnacentral:rRNA from 1 species
CCUACGGGUGGCUGCAGUAGGGAAUAUUGGGCAAUGGCGGAAACGCUGACCCAGCCAUGCCGCGUGCAGGAAGAAGGCGCUCAGCGUUGUAAACUGCUUUUGCCGGGGAAGAAUGAGCUCUACGUGUAGAGUCAGUGACGGUACCUGGUGAAUAAGCACCGGCUAACUCCGUGCCAGCAGCCGCGGUAAUACGGAGGGUGCAAGCGUUGUCCGGAUUUAUUGGGUUUAAAGGGUGCGUAGGUGGCUUGUUAAGUCUAAGGUGAAAGGCAGUGGCU